rnacentral:rRNA from 1 species
UACGUAGGGGCCUAGCGUUGUCCGGAUUUAUUGGGCGUAAAGAGCUCGUAGGCGGUUUGGUAAGUCGGGUGUGAAAUCUCCACGCUCAACGUGGAGGGGCCACCCGAUACUGCCAUGACUGGAGUCCGGUAGGGGAGUGUGGAAUUCCCGGUGUAGCGGUGAAAUGCGUUGAUAUCCUAAGGAACACCAGUGGCGAAAGCGGCUCACUGGGUCUCUUCUGACGCUGAGGCACGAAAGCUAGGGUAGCGAACGGG